GCCCUCUCAGGGGGCUUCUAGGAACAUUGCCACCAUGCUGUGAGGAAGCCCAAGCCACAUGGAAAGACCACAGCCCCCAGGUAUUUGUGCCUUCCCAGAUGAGACUCCAGACAUCAUCAGAGACAAGCCAUCAUCCUUGCUUUGCCAUGUCCAAAUGCCUCACCCAGAGAAUCAGUUACAGCGACAGAGGGCCAUCUAUGAACCAGGAAGCAGCCCCUCACCAAGCACUGAAUCUGCCAGCGCCUUCAUCUUGAACUACCGGCCUCCAAAACUGUUGUUUAGCCAACUGCCGGAAAUAAAGAACCGAAGAUGGGUGAACUACAAGAAUAUCAACGGAUCCCCCAGGGUGAAGUAAAGUAAAACUCACUUUCUCAGAAUUGAACAACAAAAAUCAUAAACUUGGGGAGAAAACUGCAUCACAUAAAAUCCACAAACAAUCUUCGAACACCUGAAGAAUAUGUUCAAGGAACUACGAGACACUGCAGGGGCCCCAGAGGGAGAACACGAAGUUUUUGCUUCCCGAUGACUACUCUCCAUGCUUCUGAGCCAUAUAUCUUUAACAUGGAGGAAUCCAAUGUGUCCCGAGAGAGUGCUUAUGGAUGUGCUGAGAUAUCUGCCAGCAAGUAGUGGAGGAAGUGAGCUUCCAAGUCUCAAAUAUAUGUCCCAUGAAUGUGAC